GGGGAAUUAGCUCAGGGGUAGAGCGCUCGCUUUGCAUGCGAGAAGUCGGGGGUUCGAUUCCCUCAUUCUCCA
rfam:Enterobius vermicularis genome assembly, scaffold: EVEC_scaffold0001576